rnacentral:rRNA from 1 species
UACGGGGGGAGCAAGCGUUGUUCGGAUUUACUGGGCGUAAAGCGCGCGUAGGCGGCUUUGUAAGUUAGAGGUGAAAGCCCGGAGCUCAACUCCGGAACUGCCUUUAAAACUGCAUCGCUUGAAUCCAGGAGAGGUGAGUGGAAUUCCGAGUGUAGAGGUGAAAUUCGUAGAUAUUCGGAAGAACACCAGUGGCGAAGGCGGCUCACUGGACUGGUAUUGACGCUGAGGCGCGAAAGCGUGGGGAGCAAACAGG